rnacentral:lncRNA from 1 species
CAGGAAGCAGGACGCAGCAGGUGGCGGUACCCAGACAACCUGUGAGGACCUUAUGCUGCCCACACAGGCGGCGCCUGGCACCGGCGUGAGCCCACUGGGUGGCUGCUUGCCCCACCCUGGGUUCGCCCUGCCCCUCCCUGGGUUGCGGCCUCUGCGGGGGGAGUAGGCCCACUGCCAGCCAGGACAGCCUUUGGAGAGGUCACCCACCCUCCCAAGCAGCAUCUCCCCUGGACUGUGGCCACAGAGAGCAGAGGCAGUGGGGGUGGGGCUACAAAUCCUCACCCUCAAAGAGCAUCCCUGGGGCAGGACAAGGGUGGGAUCAUAGGUGGCAGAGGAAACCCUAAGACGUGGCACCCUUGGUCUUGGUCUUCUGCCGCCCUCAGUCACAGAAAUGUGCUUUUUAAAUUAGUUAAUUAGUUCUAAUUAUCUAUACAUUACACUUUGCAGUUGGUUCAUCAUACACAAAUGGAGCACAGCUUUUCAUUCCUCUGGUAGUGUAAGAUUCAGAGUUGCACCAUAUGUGCAGUCAUACAUGUACCUAGGGUAAUGAUAUUGUCUCAUUCCACCCUCUUUUCUAUCCCAUGUCCCCUCCCUCCCCUUCUUCCCCUUUGCCCAAAGUUCCUUCAUUCUUCCCAUGCCCCUCUCCAUUAUGGAUCAGCAUCCACUUAUCAGGGAAAACAGCCUGUUGUUUUUUUUUGAAUAGGCUGACUUUGCUUAUCAUAAUAUUCUCAGCUCCAUAUAUUUACCUGCAAGUGCCAUGAUUUAAUUCUCUUUUAAAACUGAGUAAUAUUCCAUUGUUUACAUAUACCACAGUUUCUUCAUCCAUUCAUCUAUUGAAAGGCAUCUGGUUAGUUCCACAGUUUAGCUAUUGUGCAUUGAGCUGCUAUAAACAUUGAUGUAGCUGCAUCACUAUAGUAUGCUGAUUUUAAGUACUUUGGGUAUAUACUGAGGAGUGGGAUAGCUGGGUCAAAUGGUGGUUCCAUUCCAAGUUUUUAAAGGAAACCCCAUACUGCUUUCCAGAGUGGUUGCACCAAUUUGCAAUGCCACCAGCAACGUAUGAGAGUACCUAUCCCCCCACAUCCUCCUCAGCACUAAUUGUUGCUUGUAUUCUUGUUAAUUGUCAUUCUGACUGGAGUGAGAUGGAAUCUUAGAGUAGUUUUUUUUCUUACAUGACAAUAGUGGAAUGCAUUACAUUUAUAAUUAUCCAUUCAGAGCACAAUUUUUCAUAACUGUAUAUAAAGUAUGUUCACACCAAAUUAUGCCAUUAUACAUGAACUCUCUUAUUUUUUUGCAUUACAAUUCUUAACACACCUUUAUACCACAAUUUAUCAUAUCUCUGUAUGUAAAGUAUGUUGACACCAAAUUCACAUCUUCAUACAUGUAUUUUGUAUAAUGAUGACCGUUUCCUUUCACCAUCCUUGCUUUUCCCCUUCUCCCUCCCUUUCCCUCCCACCCCUAUUCCUUAUCUAGAGGUAAUCUUCCUCCCAUGCUCUCCCUCCCUACCCCACUUUGAGUCAUCCCCCUUGUAUCAGAAAAAAAAAAAACAUUCGGCAUUUGUUUUUUUGGGAUUGGCUAACUUCACUUAGCAUAAUCUUCUCUAAUGCCAUCCAUUUCCCUGCAAAUGCCAUGAUCUUAUUCUUUUUAGUGGUGAGUUCCAUUAUGUAUAAAUGCCACAUUUUUUAUCCAUUCAUCCACUGAAGGACAUCUAGGUUGGCUCCACAGUUAAGCUAUUGUGAAUUGUGCUGCUGUAAACAUUGAUGUGGCUGUGUCCCUGUAGUAUGCUGUUUUUAGGUCCUUUGGGUAUAGUCCAAGAAGAGGAAUAGCUGGGUCAAAUGGUGGUUCCAUUCCCAGAUUUCCAAGGAAUCUUCAUACUACUUUCCAAACUGGCUGCACUAAUUUGCAGUCCCACCAGCAGUAUAUGAGUGUACCCUUUUCCCCCACAUCCUCGCCAACACUUGUUAUUGUUUGUCUUCAUAAUGGCUGUCAUUCUUACUGGAGUGAGAUGGUAUCUUAGAGUAGUUUUGAUUUGCAUUUCUCUGGUUGCUAGAGAUGAUGAACAUUUUUUCAUAUAUUUGUUGAUUGAUUGUAUAUCCUCUUCUGAGAAGUGUCUGUUCAGGUCCUUGGCCCAUGUAUUGAUUGGAUUAUUUGGGUAUUUUUGGUGCUCAUCUCGUUGAGCUCUUUAUAUACCCUAGAGAUUAGAGCUGUAUCUGAUAUGUGAAGGGUAAAAAUUUGUUCCCAGGAUGUAGACGCUGUGUUCACCUCACAGAUUAUUCCUUUUGCUGAGGAAAAAACUUUUUAGUUUGAAUCCAUCCUACUUGUUGAUACUUGGUUUUAAUUCUUGUGGUAUAAGUGUCUUAUUAAGAAAGUUGGGGCCUAGCCCCAUGUGUUUCAGCAGGUGUCAUAGCAGAAUUUUUUUGUAAUUGUCUCUUAUCAAUUUUUGGAGACCAGUCUAAAAUAUGCCCACUAUCUUUAGACAACUUAUGUUGUACUGGAAAGGUAUUUACACAAUCUAUCCAUCUAGGAAAGGUGCCAAUCUCAAUUGUAGAACUAUUUGGACAGUGGGGUGUUCAUGGAGGUUUUGCAGAAAUGACUGGUUUGUCAUGGGAAAGUCCCAUCUUAAUCACUGGUCUAGUAUAAGGUUUUAAGUCUCCAUAAAUAGUAUGAUUAGUCAGUCUAGGUCUCCCAACAGCUGUCUUUUCCUCAAAUGAUAC